CAAUAACUUAAGUUAAAAAACUAGUAUCCUUCAAAGAUAAAAUUUUCAUCUCGAUAGUGU
rnacentral:tRNA from 1 species